rnacentral:rRNA from 1 species
GACGAACGCUGGCGGCGUGCUUAACACAUGCAAGUCGAACGAAGAGCGAUGGACGCUUGCUUCUAUCAAUCUUAGUGGCGAACGGGUGAGUAACGCGUAAUCAACCUGCCCUUCAGAGGGGGACAACAGUUGGAAACGACUGCUAAUACCGCAUACGAUCUAAUCUCGGCAUCGAGGAUAGAUGAAAGGUGGCCUCUACAUGUAAGCUAUCACUGAAGGAGGGGAUUGCGUCUGAUUAGCUAGUUGGAGGGGUAACGGCCCACCAAGGCGAUGAUCAGUAGCCGGUCUGAGAGGAUGAACGGCCACAUUGGGACUGAGACACGGCCCAGACUCCUACGGGAGGCAGCAGUGGGGAAUCUUCCGCAAUGGACGAAAGUCUGACGGAGCAACGCCGCGUGAGCGAUGACGGCCUUCGGGUUGUAAAGCUCUGUUAAUCGGGACGAAAGGCCUUCUUGCGAAUAGUGAGAAGGAUUGACGGUACCGGAAUAGAAAGCCACGGCUAACUACGUG